GUGCCAUCAUCUGAAGAUAGAGGACUUGCCCCGAAGUUCAUGAAGCGGAGAGACACGGCCAGAUCAUCCUCAGUGCCUAGAACAGACGAACCUGUAGACACACAGACAGGAAGUGGUUCCCAAGCAGCUCUGGGGCACCAAGUGAACCAGAUCCUGAAAACAUGACCUCAAAAAACAUGGACACCUUUUGAACACAGCAUUCAGCAUCUAUGAGCGAUACACAGAUAUGGGCAGUGCACAUUGUGACACAAACAAACACUAUCAAGAUCCAGCUGUGCCUGUUGUAAUUUUCCAUGUGGUUUGAAUCUUCAGCUCAGAGACACUCAAGGUUUUCUGGUACUGAAAGGGUACAGGAGGAGGAUGGAUGUUGUUGGCCGACUGCUGUGAUUGCAGACUCUCGUCCUCCCAUAAGGGAUACAUAUUGUGCCCCGCCUCCCUCUCAGAGAGUCUCCAUACACACAGCAGUAAGGUCAUAGUGCCCUGACCACAAUUACUGGCAGGACCCGAGCAGACCCUUUUUCUGCUGCAAUAAGGACAUAGUGAUGGCUCCAGACUUCCUCCUCUUGUUCCCUCUUCAUCAGGAUCAGCAAAGAAAGAUAUAGUUGGAGAGAGAGAGAAAGAUGGAGAGGGAGAGAAUGAGGGGGCGAGUGAAAAAUCCAUCUAUGGUGGUUUUCUAUCCCGUGGCCCUAAAAUGGCAACUCUAGAGUUUGGACGGUUCCCUCUUGCUCUUUAAAAGCUCAGCUUGUGAAGAGGCUUUUAAGACCAUUUCGUAGAUUCCGGACUCUAUUAUUGCCUCAGUUGUUUACCUCUUUACAUCUAGCAGCGUACCUGUGUGCUUCCACAAUCCAUUGAUUUCUUUCAGUGCGUUCUCACUCUUUAGAAAAAGAGAAAACCGUCAACAUGAGGAGAGGCUGGCUGUUAAUAUUCCCUCGGUGUGCUUUAAAGAACGACUCGCAGAGACAUCCAUGAUGACCAUUACAUAGCUUACAGGUCCUGUGAAUUCAGGGAAUCGUUCAACUAAAAACUUUAGAUUCUGUCAUUUUCUCUCCCUUAUGUUGUUCCAAACCCUUUUAAAAGAGUUAUUUUUAAUAAUAUAUUGGGCUCUUUUCCAUUUAAAUACAAUGAAGGUGAACUAGAGCAUUCAAGCUUCAAAAAUGACAUUAAAAAAGGUUCAUAAAAGUAGUUCAUAAGAGUCUUCUGAAGCCAUUGUGUCAGUGAGUCAGAGAGAAUCAGAUCAGUCCUAUUCAUGUCAAAUCAUUUAGACGAUUUUGUGAAUCAGACAUUGCUACUAAAGAGUUAAUAUGCUUUUUUGUCCUUUUUGGAAGACACUUGCUGAUUUUCUGUCAAAAUUACUGUCAUUAUUUUUCGGCGCGCCCUCCCAGUCCAUUACAGUUAUGGCAUAGGAAGUGUAAGUGAUUUUAAACAGGAUAUGCUGGAUAAGUCUGUCAAGCCAAUCAGAGAAGAGAAUAAUUCAAUUACAGGCCAAAUUCACCACUCCCACACAGCAAAACUACUGCUAAUGGGCUGCAGCUUCCAAAUACGAAGGAAACACCGGUCCUCUACUCUAAAAGGCUGUGUUCAGAAUUGAAUACUGUCUUUCCGCAGAGUAUAUAUUGCAUACUGCAUGCUAAUUUUUAAAAAUAUGUGAAACAUGCAAUAUGCAGCUUGUUUCAAACAGUAUGCUACACCGUUGUCACAUAUCCUCAAGGAAUUGCUUGUUUAAUUCAGAAAGU